UUUUUUUAACAUCAAAUCAUAACUUUAUUAAUGUGAACCAAAGAUUACAUUGUUAAAACAUAAGGGUAUGAACACAAUCAAAUAGAUUUGUAACGAAAAAGCAAAAAAGUUCAAGCGCCGCAAUCCGAAUGAUAUGCUUAGUUGCUUUCGUCGUAUCCGUCAAUCUUGUGUGACUCUCUAGCUUUGGAAACAUCUUCUUUUUAUCGAUGCACCAUCUUUUACGCUUUCGAAAGUCAAAGUCUGCGAUCCAUCCGUUACAUCGCAAGACCCUAGAUUUGGGAACUCUCCUGAAGAAAGAGAUAUGAAGUUUUGUGAUUGUAGCGUAAACCCAUACUUGUUGUUGAUCUGAUCUUCUGAUUCGCAUCAUAAUCGCAUCUCCAUCCUCCGUUGUGGGUUGAUUCCAUGGCGGUUUUCGUGGUGGUCGUUGUCUCAUUAACAAAUCCAAAGAGAUUUGUAUCAACCAUCGAAAAGCCACGAAACAGUGGUCUUCGGAGACUACCAUAAAACUAACAAAAUAUGUUAGUUUCGAUAAAAACUCGGGUAAUACAUACCGGAUAUGCCUCGGCGACUUCGCCGGAAAAGACCUUCACCACGGAGGACCGGAUGAGACAUGGUAUAUAGACUUGAGACUCCCGCAAAACGGUUCCUUUUUCAUCGACCAGAGGUAUUACCGUCCCAUGAGACGGGUUCGCUUCUGCCUUCGGAUCUGAUAUCCACUUGACAUGAAAGUGGUGAAUGUUUGUUGCCGGUGUAAGCACGAACACGGAUAAAGUCACCAUCCGAAGGAAAACCAUAGAUCGGAAGAGAUACCGGUGGAAGAAAGUGUCGCCCAUCGAAAGAAACAGAGACAGAAAGUAGAACAAAACUAAAUAAAUAGAAAGGAACCCGACCGACGCCGAAAAGUCCAGCGCUGGCCGGAGAAAAUGUCUAACGGCGGCGGUUACUUGU
rnacentral:lncRNA from 1 species